GAGAAUAUAGCUCAGUGGUAGAGUGCCUGCUUAGCACACAUGAGGUCCUGGCUUCAACCACCAGUACCUCCA
rfam:Camelus ferus unplaced genomic scaffold scaffold2028, whole genome shotgun sequence.